GACGAACGCUGGCGGCGCGCCUAACACAUGCAAGUCGAACGAGCGAGAGAGAGCUUGCUUUCUCAAGCGAGUGGCGAACGGGUGAGUAACGCGUGAGGAACCUGCCUCAAAGAGGGGGACAACAGUUGGAAACGACUGCUAAUACCGCAUAAGCCCACAGCUCGGCAUCGAGCAGAGGGAAAAGGAGUGAUCCGCUUUGAGAUGGCCUCGCGUCCGAUUAGCUGGUUGGUGAGGUAACGGCCACCAAGGCGACGAUCGGUAGCCGGACUGAGAGGUUGAACGGCCACAUUGGGACUGAGACACGGCCCAG
rnacentral:rRNA from 1 species